UACGGAGGUGGCAAGCGUUGCUCGGAAUCAUUGGGCGUAAAGGGCGCGUAGGCGGUUUUGUUUGUCCGCUGUAAAAGUCCACGGCUCACCCGUGGAGAGUCGGCGGAAACGGCAAGACUUGAGGCUGGGAGGGGUUGGUGGAAUUCCCUGUGUAGCGGUGAAAUGCGUAGAUACGGGGGAGAACACUCGUGGCGAAGGCGGCCAGCUGGCCCAGUCCUGACGCUGAGGCGCGACAGCGUGGGGAGCAAACAGG
rnacentral:rRNA from 1 species